GGGGGCGACCAGGUUUCGACGUGGUCGGUUCUCCGGCAGAGCUGCAAGCCGAGGUCCCCGGUCGGCCUCGUAAAACAACCGGGAAACAACGUAAGUGCGGAAGACAACCUCGCACUCGCUGCCUAACCUAGUUAGGUAACGCGUCGCUCCGAGCUCGGCCCGUGGCACGGGUAGCGGCGUCAUAAACGGGCUCGGCACCAAGGGAGAGCCAAUCGCCCGAGGCGCGACACCACAGGAUGGCUAGCCCGGCGGUAGGUCGGCUGUCAACCGGCCGGCGGGCGAAAUUAAAGGGCAGCCUAAGCUUGUAGACGCUUUGUCCGGUGCGUCCGCGGACGCGGGUUCGAUUCCCGCCGCCUCCAUAU
rnacentral:tmRNA from 1 species